GACGAACGCUGGCGGCGUGCCUAAUACAUGCAAGUAGAACGCUGAAGGAGGAGCUUGCUCUUCUGGAUGAGUUGCGAACGGGUGAGUAACGCGUAGGUAACCUGCCUGGUAGCGGGGGAUAACUAUUGGAAACGAUAGCUAAUACCGCAUAACAGUAGAUGUUGCAUGACAUUUGCUUAAAAGGUGCAAUUGCCCCACUACCAGAUGGACCUGCGUUGUAUUAGCUAGUUGGUGGGGUAACGGCUCACCAAGGCGACGAUACAUAGCCGACCUGAGAGGGUGAUCGGCCACACUGGGACUGAGACACGGCCCAGACUCCUACGGGAGGCAGCAGUAGGGAAUCUUCGGCAAUGGACGAAAGUCUGACCGAGCAACGCCGCGUGAGUGAAGAAGGUUUUCGGAUCGUAAAGCUCUGUUGUAAGAGAAGAACGAGUGUGAGAGUGGAAAGUUCACACUGUGACGGUAUCUUACCAGAAAGGGACGGCUAACUACGUG
rnacentral:rRNA from 1 species